GUGUGUGUCUGUGUGUGUGUGACUGUGUGUGUGUGUGUGUGUGUGUGUGUGUGUGUGUGUGUGUGUGUGUGUGUGUGUGUGUGUGUGUGUGUGUGUCUGUCUGUGUGUGUGUGUGUGUGUGUGUGUGUGUGUGUGUGUGUGUGUGUGUGUGUGUGUGUGUGUGUGUGUGUUGUGUUUCUUUUCUUAUCUCCAUCAAAGAAGAGGCAGCAUUUUUGUUUCAAACUGGCGGAAUAAGAAGGCCGUUCGUCCUAAGACAUCUGAGUGGAUACGGGGGCAGAUUUGACAGUAUCCUGGUCGGGCAUUGUGCUGGGCAGUCGUGUCCCAAGAGGUCGUAGGUGCCAGGGCCCAUGAAGUCUGAAGAAGGGUCUCAACCCGAAACGUCACCCAUUCCUUCUCUCCAGAGAUGCUGCCUGGGUGAGUUACUCCAGCAUUUUGUGCCUGUCUUUAGUUGGCAAAUACUGUGGCUAAUGUUUGUGGAAGCCACUAGGCUAAAGUAUGGGGCAAAGUCAUUAAACUGGGAGGGAAGAGAUGAAUAUUAGCUCGGGUAAGCAUAGCUUUAAGGUGAGAGGGGGGGGGUCCGUUUAGCUGAGAUGUGUGGGGCUAGAUUGGAUUUUUACCCAAGGGUGGUGGGUUUACUAUAGAUCAGUUUAUUGUCACGUGUACCGAGGUACAGUGAAAAGCUCAUGUUGCGCGCUAACCAGUCAGUGGAAAGACAAUACUUGAUUACAAUCGAGCCAUUCACAGUGUACAGAUACAUGAUAUGGGAAUAACGUUUAGUGCAAGGUGUCGUCCGAUCAAAGAAAAAGUCCGAGGGUCACCAAUGAGGUAGAUAGUAGUUCAGGACCGCUCUCUGGUUGUUGGUAGGAUGGUUCAGUUGCCUGAUAACAGCUGGGAAGAAACUGUCCCUGAAUCUGGAGGUGCGUGCGUUUUAACACUUCUGGACCUUUUCCCCGAUGGGAGAGGGGAGAAGAGGGAGUGGCCGGGGGGGGGGUGAGACUGGCCCUUGAUGAUGCUGCUGGCCUUGCCGAGGCAGCGUGAGGUGUAGAUGGAGUCAAUGGAAGGGAGGUUGGUUUGUACGAUGGUCUGGGCUGCGUCCACACUGCCUGGUGCUCGGAAACCCGCUGUCAGGGGUGGUGGUGGAGGCAGAUACCAUGGUAUAGGCGCAUGGAUACGCGGGGAAUGGAGGGAUGGGGGUUAGAUGCAGACAGGACGGCGGCCAAAGCUGGCGCCUCACGUACAUGUAGGAACUGCAGAUGCUGGUUUACACCGAAGAUAGACACAAAAUGCAUGGAGUAACUCAGCGGGACGGGCAGCAUCUCUGGAGGGAAGGAAUGGGUGACGUUUCGGGGUCGAGACGCCUUCUUCGGACCGAGAGUCGGGGGAGAGGGAGACACAGAGAUAAGGAAGGGUAAGGUGUGAAAACGAGACAUCAAAAGAGAUGGGGAUCGACGAAACUGUAGAUUAGAUCAUUGUUCGCUUGUAGAAGGUGACAACAAAGCAAACAGAGAUAACAUCUAAUCUGGGAACUGGUUUAGAGAAUUCUUGUGUAUGCUAUGGGCUAUUUCUAGAAUAGAAUAGAAUAGAAUAGAAUUACGUUUAUUGUCAUUCAAACCUUACUCUUUGUACUUAUAAACAUAGAAACUAGGUGCAGGAGGAUGCCAUUCGGCCCUUCGAGCCAGCACCGCCAUUCAUUGUGAUUAUGGCUGAUCAUCCCCUAUCAAUAACCCGUCCUUGCCUUCUCCCCAUAUCCCUUGACUCCACUAGCCCCUAGAUCUCUAUCUAACUCCCUCUUAAAUCCAUCCAGUGACUUGGCCUCCACUGCCCUCUGUGGCAGGGAAUUCCACAAAUUCACAACUCUCUGGGUGAAAAAGUAAAUGUCCUCCCCUUAUAUUCUAAGACUCUGGUGUGGCCCCUGGUUCUGGACUCGCCCAACAUUGGGAACAUUUUUCCUGCGUCUAGCUUGUCCGGUCCUUUUAUAAUUUUAUAUGUUUCUAUAAGAUCCCCCCACUCAUCCUUCUAAACUCCAGUGAAUACAAGCCUAGUCUUUUCAAUCUUUCCUCAUAUGACAGUCCCGCCAUCCCAGGGGUCAAUCUCGUGAACCUACGCUGCACUGCCUCAAUCACAAGGAUGUACUUCUUCAAAUUAGGGGACCAAAACUGUACACAAUACUCCAGAUGUGGUCGCACCCGAGCCCUAUACAACUGCAGAAGAACCUCUUUACUCCUAUACUGAAAUUCUCUUGUUAUGAAGAGGAGUUCCUCUUGUAACGUCGAGCUAGCUCAGGUACUUUCUCUGCGGUCGUUUUCACCUGAGAAUUUUCUAUUUUCUCGUAGUAAUGUGGAGAAAACGCACCAGCCACUCGCCUCGUGGUCCAGGAGGGGAGGAUGUUGUGGUGGUCGCUAGGUGACCACGGUCCAUCGACCAGCCCCAUCCCAGUUGUCCAACCAAAGCCACCAGCAAUACAUUGGCUCCAGUGACAAAGCCAGUUAGGACACUACAGCCCGAAUGGAAGGUUUCUCCACCUUCCUGCGUCACGAAGGCGCCACUGACAAGACCAUCCAUCCAAGAUGGCGGCGGUCUGGCUGUUUGCUUCUAGAAACUGUGCCGCUGGGGGAGGGAGUCUGAGGCCUGUGUUCAUUCUGUUGCACGGACUGGAAACGAGACCUGGCAGAAGGGUAAAGAACUCCAGGCCCUUCAAACACUGAGCGCCUCCUGUACCCGAGGGAAUCUCCGCGGGUGAGCUGGCCGACCUCGAGGCGGGAGGAAGAGGAUCCAGCAGCAAGAGGAGACGGGCCUCUGGCGCCGACGACCCACGGGUUUGCGACGACACAGAGCCCUGACAUUGCCCAGUGUUGGGUUUAACAGGGAACCAGAGAUAAGUACCUGCAUGAGGGUACAAUGUACAAACGGGCAGGUCUGAAGUUCGAGUAUCUUCCCCUUGCCUUAAAAUUCCCUUGCUGGGCCGCACGGUGGCGCAGCGGUAGAGUUGCUGCCUCACAGCGCCAGAGACCCAAAUUCGAUCCCGACCAGGGGUGCUGUCUGUAUGGAGUUUGUACGUUCUCCCCGUGACUGCGUGGGUUUUCUCCGGGUGCUCCGGUUUCCUCCCACACUCCAAAGACGUGCAGGUUUGUCGGCUAAUUGGCUAAUUGUGCAUGUAGGAUGGUGUAAGUACGCGUGGAUCGCUGGUCAGUGUGGACUCGGUGUGCGGAUGAACUUGCUUCCUCGCUGUAUCUCUAAACUAAACUAAACUUCAAAUUCACCAUUUACUCCACUCCAUUCACAGACUAGGAUGUACAUCUUCCCUCUGCCACCCGAGUCAUGGCUGUGGUUUCAUUCACAUCCUGCUGAGUUUCAUUGUCUGUACAACUCAUUAUCACCUAGCCCACAGCCAGCAAUGGACCAUUGUGGGCUCCACUAUUCCCUGAUCAGCCAUUACUUUUUGCAUAUCUUCCAUUCAUUCGUUCUAUAUCUCUCCAUAAUCGCAAUCUAUAUAUCUCUUGUUAACCUUUCCCCUGACUCUGUCUGAAGAAGGAUCUCAACCCUCAACGUCACCUAUUCCUUUUCUCCGAAGAUGCCGCCUGACCCGCUGAGUUACUCCAGCAUUUUUUGUCUGUCUGAUUGCAUGAAUUUGAAUAGGGGCAGACAAAAUGCGCAGGAAGGAACUGCAGAUGCUGGUUUACACCAAAGGUAGACUCAAUUCUGGAGUAACUCAGCGGGACAGGCAGCAUCUUGGGAUAAAAGGAAUGGGCGACGUUUUGGCUCGAGGUCCACGUCUUCAGACUCAUCGUCUGCAGAAGGGCGGCACGGUGGCGCAGCGGUAGAGUUGCUGCCUUACGGCGCCAGAGGCCCGGGUUUGAUCCAUACCACGGGUGCUGUCUGUACGGAGUUUGUAAUUUUUUCCCAUGACCUGCGUGGGUUUUCUCCGGGCGUUCUGGUUUCCUCCCACACUCCAAAGACGUGAAGGUUUGUAGGUUAAUUGACUUGGUAAAAUUGUCAAUUGUCCCGAAUGUGUGUAGUGUGCGGGGAUCGCUGGUCAGCGCGGACACGGUGGGCCGAAGGGCCUGUUUCCGCACUGUAUCUCUAAAGCCCAAAGCCGCAAGUUAAACUUGAAUUUGGUCAAUUUAACAAAUGGUCGGGAGCUCUUCGGAGUUGAAAUUGUAAUUGAAUUAGAUUAAUAUUUUACUAAUCAGAUUUAACCACCAACUAACGCAUGUACUAACAGUGCAAGAUCUUGGUACGGGUGCCUUCUUAACACUGACUAAUCACUAACGUCAUGUCAUUGCUUUGAAUGAUGGCAGGAUUCUCGAUUACACUGGGGCUGUCACUGAUGCAGCAACUCUACCGCUGUGCCACCGUGCCGCGCCGCGCCGAUAUGGCCCGUAUUGAACCUAUCCCACAGCCCCACUGAAAACAUCGUCCGAGCAAAUACCUGCGUCCCCCUCCCUCUCUCCACCUUUUCGCCCCCAAGUUGAAGGCUGGAGUUUGGGGAAGAUUACACACUGAAAGGGGCCUGUCCCACUUGGGCGACCUCUACCGCCAGUUCUGGCGAGUUUGCCCUCGACUCGUACUCGCUGCAUGGUCGCCACGAGGUGGUAGGAGGUCUUCGUAACUCUCCUUCAUGCUCGAGAGUGGUCUCCGCGUACUCGAGGCCUCAGCUAGGUCGCGGCGUUUUUGUCAAAAUGUUCAAAAAAUGCCCGCGAGUAAAAAAAGGUCGCCAUGGAAAAAAAUCGAUACUUUUUUACUCGUAGGUUUAGUCGUAGUAGGUCGGCAUGUUAGUCGUAGGUAAUCGAGGGUAGUCGAAGCUAGUCGUAGAUAGUCAU